rnacentral:lncRNA from 1 species
UGAGAUCCCACAGAGGGAUCAUGUUUAUGAUUAUGACUAUGCGCAGUGCAUGUUCAGGUUGAGUUGGAUGUAUGAAAGGAAAGUUUUAAAUUUUUAUGUAUGUUGUGAUCAUGUAUGGGAUUAAACAGGUUUUCAGGUUGCAAGUCAGGCUUGCUACGGGUCUUGGCGGCCUUAAGCCGACCCGGAUCCUAGCGCCGGUAGCGGUCCGAUUUUCGGG